rnacentral:rRNA from 1 species
UAUGUGAUCGUCUCUCGCAUAUCAAUAAGCGGAGGAAAAGAAACUAACAAGGAUUCCCCUAGUAACGGCGAGUGAAGCGGGAAGAGCUCAAAUUUGAAAUCUUAAAGGGUUUCCCUUUACGAAUUGUAGUUUAAAGAAGUGUUUUCUGUUGAGGUUUUGGUAAAAGUUCUUUGGAAUAGGACAUCAUAGAGGGUGAGAAUCCCGUAUUUGACCUUUACUUUCAACUUUGUGAUACACUUUCAAAGAGUCGGAUUGUUUGGGAAUGCAGUCCAAAAUGGGUGGUAAAUUUCAUCUAAAGCUAAAUAUUGGCGAGAGACCGAUAGCGAACAAGUACCGUGAGGGAAAGAUGAAAAGAACUUUGAAAAGAGAGUUAAACAGUACGUGAAAUUGUCAAAAGGGAAGCGUUUGACACCAGUGCUGUUUUUCUGAAAAUCAAUUAAAGAACUGUUUAUGCUAAGUUGUUUAGACUUUAUCAGCUAACUGUUUAGUUUUGAGCUUUUCUUUAAUGCACUUUUCAGUUAACAAGUCAACAUCAAUUUCUUUUGCUGUAAAAAAGCUUGAGGAAGGUGGCUUGAGAUUCGUCUUAAGUGUUUAUAGCCUCUUGCCUAUGCAGUCGGAGAGAUUGAGGUCUGCAGCGUAGAUCCUUCGGGGCUAAAUGCAUUUGUGCUAAGUUAUAGCAUUUCAUAGACAACUUGUUGACUAUGAUUUGUCUUGUAGCUUACUCGCUUAUGUUAUUUUACCUACGCUUAGGAUGUUGACUGAUAUGUAGUCGUA